ensembl:lncRNA
AUUUUCCUGACAAAUGGUUCUUUUAUUUUUUUUAACAGAUGCUUUUUGGCAGCACUGACAUAUAAUGCCUGUUUUAUCUUACCAUUUAAAAGAAGUUUUGAGAGUUAACCAGAAAACAAAUAGCCAGUACAGCUUUGCUUUUCAGGACUAUUUCUUAAUGCAGCUAUUCUCAUACACAUCUCUCAUGUCGUAUGAAAUGCUGUAGUGUAUGACAGACAUUUGGAGGGGCAGAUGUAUGUGACACUAUAUGAGUGGAAAAGCAGCUGGAAGCCAGAUCAGUGUACUUCACUUAUGAGUUGGAGGUGCAAUACAACCUUGCGAAUGACAUCAUUUUACAAAACUAAGAGCAUUUCCCAGCAAAUGAUUUUAAAAAAUUAUAAAAGAAAAAUAUAAAUUAUUGGAUCUUUUCUAAACACUACAAUUUUACUCUUUGGUAAGAAGGUGACUUCCAGCAAGUGCAUAUCAUCACCUCAACCUCCUGUGUCAAGAAAAUCUUUUCUCCUUUUAUGAAACUGAAGUGUCAAAAUUGCAAAUAGCAGAUUUGUUCUAGGGCAUCUUUGCAUGUUUUAUCAAAAUAAAUUAAAUUGUCUUGCUUUUACCUGUAUUUCC